ACACAUAUACAUACAUAUAUAUGUGAGUGUGUGUAUGUUUGUAUGUAUAUAUAUAUAUACAUAUAUAUGUGUGUGUGUGUGU